rnacentral:tRNA from 1 species
AGCGGGGUAGAGGAAUUGGUCGACUCAUCAGGCUCAUGACCUGAAGACUGCAG